rnacentral:rRNA from 1 species
UGGGGAAUAUUGCACAAUGGGCGAAAGCCUGAUGCAGCGACGCCGCGUGAGGGAUGGAGGCCUUCGGGUUGUAAACCUCUUUCGCUCAUGGUCAAGCCGCGACUUUGGUUGUGGUGAGGGUAGUGGGUAAAGAAGCGCCGGCUAACUACGUGCCAGCAGCCGCGGUAAUACGUAGGGCGCGAGCGUUGUCCGGAAUUAUUGGGCGUAAAGGGCUUGUAGGCGGUUGGUCGCGUCUGCCGUGAAAUUCUCUGGCUUAACUGGGGGCGUGCGGUGGGUACGGGCUGACUUGAGUGCGGUAGGGGAGACUGGAACUCCUGGUGUAGCGGUGGAAUGCGCAGAUAUCAGGAAGAACACCGGUGGCGAAGGCGGGUCUCUGGGCCGUUACUGACGCUGAGGAGCGAAAGCGUGGGGAGCGAACAGGAUUAGAUACCCUGGUAGUCCACGCUGUAAACGUUGGGCACUAGGUGUGGGGGCCACCCGUGGUUUCUGCGCCGUAGCUAACGCUUUAAGUGCCCCGCCUGGGGAGUACGGCCGCAAGGCUA